UACGUAGGGGGCAAGCGUUGUCCGGAUUUAUUGGGCGUAAAGAGCUCGUAGGCGGCCUGUUGCGUCCGCUGUGAAAGCCCGGGGCUUAACCCCGGGUCGGCAGUGGAUACGGGCAGGCUAGAGGUAGGUAGGGGAGAAUGGAAUUCCCGGUGUAGCGGUGAAAUGCGCAGAUAUCAGGAGGAACACCGAUGGCGAAGGCAGUGGGCUGGGCCGGCACUGACGCUGAGGAGCGAAAGCGUGGGGAGCGAACAGG
rnacentral:rRNA from 1 species